GACGAACGCUGGCGGCGUGCCUAAUACAUGCAAGUCGAACGCAGUGGGGACGGGUGAGUAACACGUGGGUAACCUCCCAUCAGAGGGGAUAACACUUGGAAACAGGUGCUAAACCGAUACUGAUGGAUGGACCCGCGGUGCAUUAGCUAGUUGGUGAGUUAACGGCUCACCAAGGCCACGAUGCAUAGCCGACCUGAGGGGUGGAGCGGCACAAAUGGGACCAGUACACGGCCCAGACUCCUACGGGAGUCAGCAGGAGGGAAUCUUCGGAAAUGGACGAAAGUCUGACCGAGCAACUCCGCGUGAGUGAAGAAGGUUUUCGGAUCGUAAAACUCUGUUGUUAGAGAAGCGGUAUCUAACCAGAAAGCCACGGCUAACUACGUGCCAGCCGCCGCGGUAAUUC
rnacentral:rRNA from 1 species